UACGUAGGCAGCGAGCGUUGUUCGGAGUUACUGGGCGUAAAGGGUGCGUAGGCGGUUGUUUAAGUUUGGUGUGAAAUCUCCCGGCUCAACUGGGAGGGUGCGCCGAAUACUGAAUGACUAGAGUGCGGGAGAGGAGGGUGGAAUUCCUGGUGUAGCGGUGAAAUGCGUAGAUAUCAGGAGGAACACCGGUGGUGUAGACGGCUCUCUGGACCGUAACUGACGCUGAGGCACGAAAGCGUGGGUAGCAAACAGG
rnacentral:rRNA from 1 species